UACGUAGGGCGCAAGCGUUGUCCGGAAUUAUUGGGCGUAAAGAGCGUGUAGGCGGCCUGGUAGGUCUGCUGUGAAAACUCGAGGCUCAACCUCGAGAUGUCGGCGGAAACCAUCUGGCUAGAGUCCGGAAGAGGAGAGUGGAAUUCCUGGUGUAGCGGUGAAAUGCGCAGAUAUCAGGAAGAACACCUAUGGCGAAGGCAGCUCUCUGGGACGGUACUGACGCUGAGACGCGAAAGCGUGGGGAGCGAACAGG
rnacentral:rRNA from 1 species